rnacentral:lncRNA from 1 species
GGAGGACCGACAGAUGAACGGAUGACCUGCUUGCUGGGCUACCCAUUACUGAUUCUUGAGCUGAUCGAAAUCAACCAGUCUGAGUUAGUUCUCUUGGUUGGGGAGUUAUUUGGGUGGUAACGAAGCAGUGGACCAGGCAAUCAAUCGAGCACACCAUUGAGACAUGGAUCAACCUCCACUGAUUGACGGAGUAGUGCUGAAUAAGAUUGACACCAUUGAUGAUAAAUGAACAACUUUAUUUACCGUGUGGGACGUCAUCCCACCU